rnacentral:rRNA from 1 species
CAGUCGCCACGGUAAUACGUAGGUGGCAAGCGUUGUCCGGAAUUAUUGGGCGUAAAGGGCUCGCAGGCGGUUUCUUAAGUCUAAUGUGAAAGCCCCCGGCUCAACCGGGGAGGGUCAUUGGAAACUGGGAAACUUGAGUGCAGAAGAGGAGAGUGGAAUUCCACGUGUAGCGGUGAAAUGCGUAGAGAUGUGGAGGAACACCAGUGGCGAAGGCGACUCUCUGGUCUGUAACUGACGCUGAGGAGCGAAAGCGUGGGGAGCGAACAGGAUUAGAUACCCCCGUAGUCCCUGUCUCUUAUAC